rnacentral:rRNA from 1 species
AACGAACGCUGGCGGCAGGCCUAACACAUGCAAGUCGAGCGCCCUUUCGGGGGAGCGGCGGCCGGGUGAGUAACGCGUGGGAAUAUGCCCUUCUCUACAGAAUAGCCUCGGGAAACUGAGAGUAAUACCGUAUACGCCCUUUGGGGGAAAGAUUUAUCGGGGAAGGAUUAGCCCGCGUUGGAUUAGGUAGUUGGUGGGGUAAUGGCCUACCAAGCCGACGAUCCAUAGCUGGUUUGAGAGGAUGAUCAGCCACACUGGGACUGAGACACGGCCCAGACUCCUACGGGAGGCAGCAGUGGGGAAUCUUAGACAAUGGGGGCAACCCUGAUCUAGCCAUGCCGCGUGAGUGAUGAAGGCCUUAGGGUUGUAAAGCUCUUUCAGCUGGGAAGAUAAUGACGGUACCAGCAGAAGAAGCCCCGGCUAACUCCGUG